CAUUCCUUUGCGACAACGCAACCGUGACAGUUCUCCCCCAUCUGGACAGACGGGGCAAAAUCCGAAACGAUCGCGAUCGUCAUUCUUUACGAGGCACAAGGCAACCCGAUGGGGCUAAUAAGGGAGAUAAACCCCCCGCCCGUAUAACUUUCCGCAUCCAAAACCACGAGCAAAAGACAUAUGCGCCAACGCAGCCAAGUCAUGGUUUGCGUGGAACACAUGCAUCGCUACGAGGUCGGCCCCGUGCCAUGGCUGGCAAGGGGCGAAGGGGCACAAUCACUACAUUCAAUUUCCACCGUAGUGGGUAAGCAGCACAGGAACCUAGCAUCACCUCGAAAAAAUUUUCGGGUCUUCGUAUCUGAAGGGAUCGUGGCAAAACAGUUCGGUGCGCGAAGCAUGGAGCCUGCCUUCCCAAACGAUCCUAACACCACUCACGCGC
rnacentral:misc_RNA from 1 species